ACAUGGCUACAUCAUAGCAUUAAUGCACCAGAUCUCAUUAUAAUUCUGUAGUCAAGCGCGCUCAGGUUAGAGUUGCACUGGGAUUGGUGACCACUGGGAAGUCCUAGUGUUUUACAUGCC
rfam:Picea glauca, whole genome shotgun sequence.